AUAGACUGUUUUUGCGCAAUUUCCUGUCUACGUGUUCAUCUGCCCUUGUGAUACAUUCAGCCAAAAGCUGCAAAAAGUCGCUUUCCAUGUCAAUUAUACUGAUUAUCCCAGGGCUAGUCCCCCUGUCGGAAAAAAUGAAUUCGGAGACAAGACUAGUUGGUCUUCUGAAAAACCAGCUUAAUAAACUAACACCAAGAAAUAUCGCCUCAAAAGUUAGAAGACCAGAUGGAUUUCUUCACCCCCGACAAAAAGCAUAUAACCCAGUAGAUUUGGAAUGGCAACUCCAAAAGAGAGACUUGCAUUGGCUUGGAAUAUGGACAGGUUGUUUUCUAGAAAGUUCAUACUUGGCAAGAAGGAUUUAUCGGGGAUUUACAAGUCCUCUCGUAUAGUUGAAUGAAACAUCCUUCAGUAAUGUUAAACUGGUGGCAUGGUUUUUGAAUAAAAAAAGAAAACUCA